GAAUAAUACAAGGAGUCCCUGGGCUGAGUGGGCCUGAAGCCAGGCCCUGGUCUUCUUGCCUGACACCUUGGAGAACUGCGGUUAGCAUCUUCCAGAGGGCAGCCUGGGAUCCUGCACUCAAGCCAUAAUUCUGCCACUUAGCCUGACUGUUUAACAGCCUUCUUGAAAUAAGAAGACAGACACUGGCUAGAAUCUGGAAUGAGGCCCCAAAGGCUGGAGGACAAAAAUAAGUCCAGUGAAACCAACUUGUCUUCAAAGAGAAAAAGAACUCUAUUUGUCUUGACUCUGCCAGUUCAAAACUCUUUCCGUUGGCAAUAGAUAUUAUUCUGAAUAGUUACUUAUUUUAGCUCAGUGGAAGACCUGCAUUUUGAGAAAUGAAGUUAUUUUAGCAAGAAUACAUAUUAUCUAGUACUUGAAGGAAGACUAGUGGCUAUUAUUGCAGUAAAAGUGAUGAUAAAU
rnacentral:lncRNA from 1 species